rnacentral:tRNA from 1 species
AGGGUCAAAAAAGGUUCAUUUGCAGUGAAUCAAUCAUUUUUAAUGUGGCCUUA